UACGUAGGGUGCAAAGCGUUGUCCGGAAUCAUUGGGCGUAAAGCGCGCGUAGGCGGCCCGAUAAGUCCGCUGUAAAAGUCAACGGCUCAACUGUUGAAAGCCGGUGGAUACUGUCGGGCUAGAGUACGGAAGAGGCAAGUGGAAUUCCUGGUGUAGCGGUGGAAUGCGCAGAUAUCAGGAGGAACACCUAUAGCGAAGGCAGCUUGCUGGGACGUUACUGACGCUAAGGCGCGAAAGCGUGGGGAGCGAACAGG
rnacentral:rRNA from 1 species